UCUGUUGCUACCACAACUGCACGAUAACAACAACAAAGUCAGCAUUGGAAGUCACUCUUCAAUACUAGAACAAUUGAUGACCUACUAAACAGCACAAUCACGAGCCGUCCUCAUGCUGGAAGCCCGUGUCUCUGUUUGCACCAAGCGAAAGUAUGUUCAGCACGCUUUGCUCUUUGAAGACCUGAUUCCGUACCACAAUGACACGACACCGUCUGAUGCACUGUACUGCAAUGCAUGUACACAAAAUCUUGUGCAAUGGAAAUGCUUUGGACAUCCUCUUGGAAAGCUUCAGCACCAAAAUGAGCAAAGGUCAGUCAAAUCGUAGACUCUUCCCAUGAACGAGACCCAAAGAUCGUCUGGCAUAUUGUGGUGAGAAAUCUCUUUCCGAGUGAAAUAUCGAAUUUUUGGGAGGGAUACCAUUCUGAGAACCGGGAGAAAGUGUUAAAAGAUUUGCGAAGCAAAAUAUUCAAGGAACAAAAAUUGAUCCUGAAUUUGGCGAAUCGAUCUCUCUCUCUCC